UUUGGCACAACAAUGCUAGGCAACAGAAGACAUCUUUCCAGUCUGCUAUUAUUACUUCAACCUACUCCCUACAUCAGAAACAGGCUGAUUAAACCCUUUUUUGUUAAAGCUCCAAACCAUGGUGAUUUAACAGAGAGAAACAGAAGAAACAGUAGUUAAAGAGAAUUUAAAUAGCUGAUGUUUUCCAUUUGGAUGCAAACAACAGUUAAUACAAGUAGCUGCAGGAAUCAAGGUGAUCUUUUAUCUCCCCAGAGGAAAGUUGAAAGCUCCAGCUGAGUAAAAUGAUGAGGAAAUGGAAACAGAAUUGCUGGGUGGGACAAAUCCAGGGAGGAAGGGCAUCUAUCCAAGAAGAAGGGAGGACUACAGAUGUGAAAAUGUAUUCAGUGAGACUACUAAACAUGUGAUCCAUGUAAUACAAAGAUUCAUUCAGGACUGAUGACUCAUUUAAUGACCUGCUAGGGAAAGCUUCAGUCUUCCCAAAGCUCACAGCAGCUCCAAUUUGGCACACAGGGAAAAAAAAUUCUCACUGGGAGCUGAGUAGCAUGGAUAGCACUGCCAACAUAUUACAGCCGUACCAGACGUUUCACAGCUUUGCAAAAUUGACUAGCAUUGCCUACAGUGUGCUCCAGAAAACUGCUUGCUACGUCAGAAAAGCAUAAAAUUUUUAUUGGACAGCAAUGAAAGCAAAUGUGAAGUGUUUGUGUGAUGACCAGCCAAAUCUGUAAGAAAGUUUCAACUUAUGUAUUUUUUACUUCCCUCCAAGAAAGAAAAUGUAAAUAUGACAUGCUGCUAGUAAUAGGUGAUGAGUCAAGGGAGUAGAUGAAACAGAGAGCAGGGAAUGAGGGAAGAAGUCUUUUUCUUUCUUGUCAAUGUCUUAUUCACAAUGUCAGUCUUGACUUCUGCUGAAGUUUGGUUCUUCUCCUCCAUCUCAACCUAAGAGAGGAUCAAAGCUAGAGAAUACAGCUGAGGCAUAUUCAGCAACAAAUACAAACACAAGGGUUUAGAAUCUAGAUUAAAUGUUGGGAGAUGGUAGAGCAUCCCAGGCUACUUUUGCUUGAUGUGGCAGGCAGCAGAGUAGAGCAUAAUGGGCAGAUGGGACCUUAUGUAUGUCCUUGCUCUGUUCCUAGGGUAGUGCAGCUGAGGACUGCAUAUUUUUGCAGGCUGCAAAUGCCUCUAUAUGCCUGAAACUGAGGUCCAUGGCAUUUUUUCCUUCUGGAACUCUGGCUAGUGCUCUAUUUAGAUUACAGCUGGUCUCCAGCCCAGCUGAAGCAGCAAUUCAAAAAGUAACACACAAACUGCUGGUGAAUAAGAAUCUGAAGUUUCCUUAAGAUGUAUUCUGUUUACUGCUAAUUAGUUUACUCAUGUAAAUGGACAAGUUCAACGAGGACAUUUCAGAGGUGAUGUGUGUGUGAAAAUGCCAUUUUCUCCUAAGAAAUGUACUAGAUUUCAAGAAAGAAUUUUUGAAGGGGUGCUUGCAAAUCCUGAUUGGAGUUUUCCCUCAAAACAAGAAGAAUUGAGUAACCUCUAAGAAACCUUACUGUCUGUAAUUACAAAAUCCAGCUGCCUUGACUGGCCUUGGGAAGGACACCAAAGUCACAUCCUCUGUUCGGUUGGUAUAUCUGUGCGAGCAGGUAACUGUAGUAGAGAGGUCAGGAAAACAGACUCAGGUUUCCAAUUCAAUCGCUCCAAGAACUUCGAGUACUGUGUUCCCAAAAUGUGGUCAAUAGGCACUUGCAGAGUAAUGAAGAAGUAAGUUUGAAAGUGUUGAUUCCUGGGUCAGCAACUACAGCUUCUUCUGAGACCUUGACGUGAGUAGACAGCUUUGGAGUUUAUUGCUGGGUCACCACAAUGAGAGAAGAGAGGCAGGGUGAAGACCCACCUGUUCCUUAGUGUUCCCAUAGCCUAGCCAGCCUGCUUUGCAAGGUCAAACUUUGAAUGUAGCAAAAAAUCAAUACAGUCUAAAGCUCCAGACUUAAUAUUGAUUGUGUCUUUGAAAUUCUCCUCUUGACUGGUCUGCUAUUUUUGUUCAUAACUGAGGUUGAAGUCACUCUCCUUGGUACCUGUGGACCUUGUCAGUUCAUUCCCAGGUCCCCCAACCACUUUACUUCUGCUCACUUUACAAUUACUUUUAAAAGGAGUUCUUUAACAUUCUCCUGGAAAUAAGAGGAAUCCUUUCUGUGCCCCAUAUCUGUGAGAGGCAAACAAUGCAGUCCUAUGAGUGGUUGUCUCAAUUACAGAAUUUGGUUUUGUUAAGAUAUUGGAGAAAAUGAUUAUGAAUUCUUGUAAGUAACAUAUACUUUUUACAAGGAGAACCUCGAGCUUAUAAACACUGUAAUACACCUGCCUGCAUUUUCAUCUGGUUGGAUUUAAAACUUUUUUUUUUAAAUUUAAAACUUUUUAUUAUUUACACCUUGCUUUUUGUAGGACUGUAGUCAAGGAGUUGAAAACUUCUACUGUAGAUAGGUUCUGCAUUUCUUCUUCCAUUUGUAUUGUGAAUGCAAGAAAAACAAAUGUUAAUUGACAAUUAAUAUAAAUUGAACAAUAACUGAGUAACUAAUAUCUCCAGAAAUCCUUUUUUUUUUUUUUCCUUCUGGGUAAUAUGUGUGAGAUUUAAAACAGUACAGAAUUUAGACUGUCAGCUUGAACUUUCUGGGAUUUCAUCGUCCAUGACGAUCUCUGUUAAAGAAACUCUGACUUUGAAAAUAAAGCCUGGUUUUCACUGUA